rnacentral:rRNA from 1 species
CAGUCGCCGCGGUAAUACGUAGGGUGCAAGCGUUAAUCGGAAUUACUGGGCGUAAAGCGUGCGCAGGCGGUUAUAUAAGUCAGAUGUGAAAUCCCUGGGCUCAACCUGGGAACUGCAUUUGAGACUGUAUGGCUAGAGUGUGUCAGAGGGGGGUAGAACUCCACGUGUAGCAGUGAAAUGCGUAGAUAUGUGGAGGAAUACCGAUGGCGAAGGCAGCCCCCUGGGAUAACACUGACGCUCAUGCACGAAAGCGUGGGGAGCAAACAGGAUUAGAUACCCCGGUAGUCCCUGUCUCUUAUAC